rnacentral:lncRNA from 1 species
AAAAAUAAAAAAUAACCAGAAACUGAUCAGCAGGCAAAUGCUUAACUUAUGCUCAAGAAUUAGCCUACUUAUAGUAAAAAUAAUAAUAAAGGAAAUGAGAACACAAAAAUGAAUUCAAACUUAUUUCACAUACUCAAAAACGUCCAAAACAUAUAGUAGAUGUAACCUGGUGCACUAUUCAAAAUGUAAUAAAUCAUAAGGACGAUAACAAGUGGUAAUCGACGAAUAUGCAUUAAUUCGAAACCAAGCAACCUUUUAUCAUACAACAGCCAUGAGCCAAGCAAAGAACAAAGUCAAUCGAGGAAGCAACAAAACAAACUGAAAUGAGUUNNNN